rnacentral:lncRNA from 1 species
AUCUGUACUCAAUGUGACUGUUGAGUGCUGUUAUUCUCUAGGUAUAUUAUCAGAGCAUUGUAAAGGAAGAGCAUUUCUCUGCGAACUCAUGGAAAAACAGUGGGGUUUUUUUCUUGGCCAGAUUCCCCAAAGAGAAUUGAAUUUCAAGUGAGCCGUGGGAACUGACACAGAAAAUGACAUUUUUUCUUUGCA